rnacentral:tRNA from 5 species
GCCGCCUUAGCUCAGCGGUAGAGCAAUGCUUUCGUAAAGCAUAGGUCGUCGGUUCAAAUCCGACAGGCGGCUCCA